GUUCCUGCGUUAGUUUGCUAAGGAUAAUGGCCAUUAUCUUAGCCAUUUGAAAAUAAUGAUUUAACCUCUCUCACCUUCAUUGUCAUUUUAGAAGAAACUACCAUUUGGUGUCCUGCUGAGACAAGAAAAUAUUUUCACAACUCAAGACAAGUUAAAUAUCCACUUAUGGGAACAGUGCUGAAGGCCUGGACUAGGAUGGUAGCAAUGGAGACAGACUAAAGGUCAGCAUAACAGUCAACAUUAAGGGGGUUGAAUCAACAGCACAUAGUACCUGAUUGGAAAUACAGAGUAAAUUACAGUGAGAAAAAGAGAUGCAAUCAUUCCCUUGCAUAUGGUCCGUAUGAAGACGGGAUCAUUACAGGAAAGGUGAAGGAGAUACAGUCAUUAUGCUCUAUAUACACCCAUUUUUAUGGCUAGCGGCUGAAGAUGGGAUGCUUUCUUUGCUGGAAGACCUAUUACCUGUUAGGUUGCAAAAGAUGUGAUCAUCUUCCUAAACAAUAAUUUAGAGUCCCAUAACAAUUUUAAGUGUGCUGUUCAUGAAAAUUUGAAUACAUUGUAUUGGGAAUAUAAUGGAAGUGAGAUGCCUCAUGUCGUGAGAAAAUCUGACAUAAACUCCUUAAGCAUGAGAGGCCAUGUGGGUAUGGAAGC
rnacentral:lncRNA from 1 species